AACGAACGCUGGCGGCAUGCCUAACACAUGCAAGUCGAACGAGACCUUCGGGUCUAGUGGCGCACGGGUGCGUAACGCGUGGGAACCUGCCCUUAGGUUCGGAAUACCUCCCCGAAAGGGGUGCUAUUACCGGAUAAUGUCUUCGGCCCAAAGAUUUAUCGCCUUUGGAUGGUCCCGCGUUGGAUUCGCUAGUUGGUAGGGUAAAAGCUUACCAAGGGGACGAUCCAUAGCUGGUCUGAGAGGAUGAUCAGCAACACUGGGACUGAGACACGGCCCAGAAUCCUACGGGAGGCAGCAGUGGGGAAUAUUGGACAAUGGGCGAAAGCCUGAUCCAGCAAUGCCGCGUGAGUGAUGAAGGCCUUAGGGUUGUAAAGCUCUUUUACCCGGGAUGAUAAUGACAGUACCGGGAGAAUAAGCUCCGGCUAACUCCGUG
rnacentral:rRNA from 1 species